GUCAAAGGUCCCCCUAAAAUAGCAACGAAGUCAUAGUAGGUGGGUGAAACAUUGAUCAGGUAACUUGGCCUCCCUUAUCCGCGGCACGGGGAGGCCUCGCGUCAAGAAUACAGAGCUGAUAUCGAGUGUCUGGUGGGUAUUAUGCAUAUAACAGGUAUAGGUCAGAGAGGGUGAAGUAGAUACUUGACACUCGAGCCAAAGGGCGACCCUUGUGUCUGAUCCAUAUUGACUGAAAUGCAUUUUUUAUGACUCGAUGUACAUUUCGCAGGGAUUAUUUUUCACAAGACUAUAGAGAGCGACGGAAUAGACAGUAAUUUUUGUGAAUUUAUUCCACAACACUGUGUGAGAUCAAGUAACUGUAUUUCUCUUCAAUGCAUGUCAAACAUACUGAGACAAUAAUAAUGAUGAAAUUUUUCAAGAUUGUUCGAUUGCUGGGGGAAAAAACAGUACGGAAAGAUGGAGAAGAGGCGAUGCUGAGAGAGGGACGUUCGCCGCACAAUGGGAGUCGAAGACAAUGAAAACAAUGGCCGAGGAUGGAUGACGGAGGUGGAGUUUUCUGAAAGUUAAAAAUGCUGAAAGAAAUAACAGCAAGGCUUGAACUCAAGUGUCUAUUGUGAACGCAAAAGACAGCGAUAGAUCAUGCGAAGAAGCCCACAGGAAAGAUACGGGGAUUCAAAAAUUAUGGAAAAGAUGCUGGAAGAUUUUUUAAAUUCUUGAGAAGAUUAUCAGAGGAAUGUUUCAGAAUGCAACGAAAGUGAACAAGAGCUUAGAAGGAUGCUUAAGAGUCGUCAAAAUCAAGACAAGGCUUCCCUCGUGUCUCAGUGAUGGCAAUGAAUCCCACGGUGAUCUUUUGUGUCCUGUGUACGACGGAUUCCCCGAGUUCGAGGCUGCGGAACCCAAAGUUGAACUUCCCGAUUGCCAACCA